rnacentral:rRNA from 1 species
UACGGAGGGUGCAAGCGUUGCUCGGAAUCAUUGGGCGUAAAGCGCGUGUAGGCGGCUGGACAAGUCUGAUGUGAAAUCCUGGAGCUUAACUCCAGAACUGCAUCGGAUACUGUCUAGCUAGAGGGUGAGAGAGGAUGGUGGAAUUCCAGGUGUAGGGGUGAAAUCCGUAGAUAUCUGGAGGAACAUCGGUGGCGAAGGCGGCCAUCUGGCUCACUUCUGACGCUGAGACGCAAAAGCGUGGGGAGCAAACAGG